rnacentral:rRNA from 1 species
UACAGAGGGGGCAAGCGUUGUCCGGAUUUACUGGGCGUAAAGAGCGCGCAGGCGGUCGAUCAAGUCGAGUGUGAAAGCCCCCCGGCUCAACUGGGGAGGGUCAUUCGAUACUGAUCGACUCGAAGGCAGGAGAGGGUAGUGGAAUUCCCGGUGUAGUGGUGAAAUGCGUAGAUAUCGGGAGGAACACCAGUGGCGAAGGCGGCUCACUGGACCACAACUGACGCUGAGGCGCGAAAGCUAGGGGAGCAAACAGG